UUGCUUUGUUUUUUUUUUCUUUUUCCUAUUUCAAUAUCUUUGCUAUUACGAUUUACUGAUUGUUUUUCUUUUCCCUUUUUUUAAUCACAGCAUUAACAUCAGCAGUUCCCUUAACAGCUAACGUUAUGCAAGAAUGUCAAGCGAUAAAGAUCCUUCAAUGGAGCUUCCAAUCUACAUAUUGACUUCGCCUGACUAUUCAGUAUAAAUAUGUACCUCUUGAUAGCAAUUGAAACAAAACCAUUUAAUUUUGGGAAGCCCGGAAUGUGUAGAAAACGGGUUAACUGAUGGGCGUUGAUAUGGUUCUUACUGAUUCAAAGCUUGUGCUUCUCUUUAUUGCUCUUGUCUCUGUUCCGUGUAUGUUGCUUUCAAAGCUGUUCAUCUUAAAGAAACAACACGUAGCUAAGCAACAAGGUCAGUCAUACGCACCUCUUGAGGAGACGGAUGAGAGUCUUCAUGUAGAGACAAGCGGAGGAUCACAUGGGCACGGGGAGUUUUAAUUCAUCGAGAUCUUUGUGCAUCAGUUUUUUCACACCAUAGAAUUUUGUGCUUAGAGCUGUUUCCAACACCUCUUCUUACCUGCGUAUAUGGGCUCUCAUGCAUCUAUCUAAUCAUGGAGCAGUAGGAAGCUAGAAUAGUGUUGAGUUUUGCUAUGAUAGCUGUUUGAUUACUAGAGUAUGUAUUAGCUGAAGAGGAAGGCAGCAGGUCUAAGAAGACCGCAAAAGCUUUAUAACUCUCACUGUAAUUUUGCAUUUGA